rnacentral:lncRNA from 1 species
UGAGUAAGUCCAUAUCCAUCGAUGAUAAGCCUCAGUUGAUGUUGCCAUUGAACAAAAGUAUCAUCUUUAAGCUUCCCUGUAUCAUGGCGAGGGAAAGAUUGAACAACUCGGUGGACCCUUUCUCUAUCUGGAAAACAUAGUGACGAGGAUUUGUGAACAGGAGCAGAAUUUCUUGGAGAAAUUGCUUCAUUGGCAGACACAUCAUGCAAAGUUACAGCCAUCAAGCACAACAAAAAGCAACCUAGAAAAGAGCUCUUGAUACCAUGAAAGUAACUCACAUACAAAUGCAAGAAUACACACUUUGUUUACUCAUGAAUGAAUCAGAAAUUUUAGCUUGAAUAUUAUUGAGAUAGAAGAGAGUAUAUAUACACAUAUAGAAUGAGAGAAACUAUUAUUUAACCAACUAAUAGAAUCUUUAACCAACCAACUAGUUCUAUUUCAAACGACUCUAGAAUAGCCAAACCUCCCUACACUUCAUUCUCAAUCUUUUAUUUAGCAUUUCAUUUCAUUCUCUCUUUAAAGUGAGCUAUAAUCCCUCCUUAAUAUUUAGCACUGUUUCUGGAUAAAACUUACGCAAUUCAAACUUGUAAUGACCAACUUUCUCACCUUUACUCUCUUAGGACCUUAGUUAUGAUUGCUUUAGCUUUCCUUAAAUUUUUAACAACAUCAAGUUUACAUAAAUUUAAGAAUAGCUUUCAUAAAAAAUUAAGCGCUAUGCAAACUUCUUACCUUUUUCGCCUUGAUCGAAUGAUAGUAACUUUGUUGUAAAUUUUCUCUUCUUUCUCCACCGAAUGAUAGCAAAUUUGGCUAAUUCUUUUGCUCCAUUCAAUUGUCCACUAAGAAAAC